rnacentral:rRNA from 1 species
GGUUGAGUAAUGUCUGGGAAACUGCCUGAUGGAGGGGGAUAACUACUGGAAACGGUAGCUAAUACCGCAUAACGUCGCAAGACCAAAGAGGGGGACCUUCGGGCCUCUUGCCAUCGGAUGUGCCCAGAUGGGAUUAGCUAGUAGGUGGGGUAACGGCUCACCUAGGCGACGAUCCCUAGCUGGUCUGAGAGGAUGACCAGCCACACUGGAACUGAGACACGGUCCAGACUCCUACGGGAGGCAGCAGUGGGGAAUAUUGCACAAUGGGCGCAAGCCUGAUGCAGCCAUGCCGCGUGUAUGAAGAAGGCCUUCGGGUUGUAAAGUACUUUCAGCGGGGAGGAAGGGAGUAAAGUUAAUACCUUUGCUCAUUGACGUUACCCGCAGAAGAAGCACCGGCUAACUCCGUGCCAGCAGCCGCGGUAAUACGGAGGGUGCAAGCGUUAAUCGGAAUUACUGGGCGUAAAGCGCACGCAGGCGGUUUGUUAAGUCAGAUGUGAAAUCCCCGGGCUCAACCUGGGAACUGCAUCUGAUACUGGCAAGCUUGAGUCUCGUAGAGGGGGGUAGAAUUCCAGGUGUAGCGGUGAAAUGCG